AGUCGUCUCCAUCUUUUGAUUCUUUUCCCUCCUCCAACGGUCGCCAUCCACCGGCAACCAGAAGCACCGCCGUGAGCCACCCACAGGCUCCCACGAGCUCGUCCCUCUCCCACGUACUGUUGUCGAGGAGAUCGUUCCCGAAGCAACCCACCAGCUCCUCCGUCUUCCACAAGUUCCUCCCUCUCCCACCAUGGUUCUCCCUCUCCUCCCUUCAGCACACUCCCGCUUCUGAGGAGCCACCACCACCGUACGGCCACGACGACCCAUCAUCUUUGCCCGCAGUACAUCUCCGACGACCCAUCACCACCGCCGACAAGCCGAGACAUCAAAAGAGAUUUGUGUUGUGUAGUUUGGAAUAAGGCUUCUAGUUUUGGACUUCCGAGUUGAUCAUCGUUUUGGGUAGUGCUCUUCUGCACAUAAGAAUGGACGCCAAGAGGUUCAUCCAAUUGGUCGAAGAGAAAAAGGAGAGAACUUUGGAGAAGAAAGAAGCCCCUUUGAAAUGGGAGCAGAAAGCUGGAAGCCGCUGCCAAGGCAAAGGCUGAUGCCGAAGCCAAAGAGAGGAUGCUGAAGGCUGCAAAGCAUAAAAGAAGAUCUAUGUCCGAUUCUGAUAGUGGCAGGAAGCAUGCCCACUCUGACUCAGGCGGUGACAAAAUAGUUUGUGUUGAAAAAAAAAAAAUAUCGGAUACAUUUAUAGUCUGUGUUGGAAUUAUGGCUAUGUAAUAUAGAGGCCUUUCCUUUCGUGUAAUUUAUGAAAAUA